UACGUAGGAGGCGAGCGUUGUCCGGAGUUACUGGGCGUAAAGGGUGCGCAGGUGGCCGUGCGCGUGGGGAGUGAAAUCGCCCGGCUUAACUGGGCGGGGGCCUUCCAGACGGCGUGGCUUGAGCAGCGGAGGGGGACGUGGAAGUUCCGGGUGGAGCGGUGAAAUGCGUAGAGAUCCGGAGGAACACCGACGGCGCAGGCAGCGUCCUGGCCGCUUGCUGACACUGAGGCACGAAAGCCGUGGGGAGCAAACAGG
rnacentral:rRNA from 1 species